UAGGUCAUUGAUGACCUGGUGUCAUCCGAAGUCUUGUCACAAAUGACAGGAACUCGAUUCUGUUAUUGAGACGGGCUUAUGGCGGAUGUAUUGCUGAAACGUUCCCGUCAAUUCAAGAAAAACACGCACUUACCAGCUUACGAUUCAAUAUCAACCGGUAGACUUAGCGAAGCCCUUGGCUAGUAGCCGAUUCGAGAAUCAUCGUCAUUUGCAGAUGCGCUCGCCAUUUUCUUCUCUAAUCGAAAAAUACUCAGUAUCUCCAUGUACUUAUUGUUAGAAACAACUCUGCAAACAAAAUAACGAGCAAGACAAAUCUUAAGAAGAAAGUAGUUAACCAAGAAAUGUUUGGAAGAGCAGAAGUGAGAAGCUGAACAGGAGCAAUCUAAAAAAACACCUUUUCCUUUUUACACUGAUGUCUGGAGCAGAAGCUAGUAAAUAUUCUGAAUAAAGCAAUGUAAUACGCAAGACUCACAAUCCUAUAACAACUUUAUAAAAAAAACAAUAUGAAAAGCAAAAGAAAGGACUGCAGUGAAUUACUUUGCUUUUCAAGUAACCAGGCAUCCUCGAAAUUUGGCAGGAGGGUAUAUUACAGUAUAAGUGUGAAGAAAAUCAAAUUCUUUAACACUAUGUAGCAAGAAUCUUUAAUUUGUUGAGCAGUCAUAUACUGAUUUCUUUCCCACAACUUUGUUUAGGGAUAAUCAUAUUAUUCAUCUCAUAUUUACAAAGCAACUUGUAUGGCGCUAUAUUUAUAAAAUAUAUUGUACAAAGAUAAACCAUACAAUAUUUAUACUAAACUGUAUAAAGCCCUAGUACAUGACAAGUAAUAAAUAUAGUUAUGAUAUUGUCAAAGAAAAA